rnacentral:rRNA from 1 species
UAAUAAGCGGAGGAAAAGAAACUAACAAGGAUUCCCCCAGUAACGGCGAGUGAAGCGGGAAAGGCUCAAAUUUGAAAUCUCCGACGCCUGCGUCGGCGAGUUGUAGUUGCGAGAAGCACUUUCUAGGCGGAUCGAACGCGCCCAAGUUGCUUGGAACAGUACGUCGCAGAGGGUGACAACCCCGUCCGCGGCGCGUUCGGCCGCCGACGAUGCGCUUUCGAAGAGUCGGGUUGUUUGGGAAUGCAGCCCAAAACGGGUGGUAAACUCCAUCUAAAGCUAAAUACUGACGUGAGACCGAUAGCGA